AGAGAGAGACAUGCGCGCAUAUCAAUAAGCGGAGGAAAAGAAACUAACAAGGAUUCCCCUAGUAACGGCGAGUGAAGCGGGAAGAGCUCAAAUUUGAAAUCUUCAAGGGUUCUACCUUGACGAAUUGUAGUUUAUAGAAGUGUUUUCUGUUAGGUGUUAGUGGUAAAAGUUCUUUGGAAUAGGACAUCAUAGAGGGUGAGAAUCCCGUAUUUGGUCAUUCCUCCUAGCGUUGUGAUACACUUUCAACGAGUCGGAUUGUUUGGGAAUGCAGUCCAAAAUGGGUGGUAAAUUUCAUCUAAAGCUAAAUAUUGGCGAGAGACCGAUAGCGAACAAGUACCGUGAGGGAAAGAUGAAAAGAACUUUGAAAAGAGAGUUAAACAGUACGUGAAAUUGUCAAAAGGGAAGCGUUUGACACCAGUGUUGUUUUUCCGAAAAUCAAUUACGAAUGUUUUGUUUUUGAGGAGUUAUGACUUCAUCGGCUUGCUCCUUUCUUUACUGAAACUUUCUUAAUGCACUUUUCGGUUAACAAGUCAACAUCAAUUUCUUUUGUUGUAAAAGGGUAUGAGGAAGGUGGCUUUCCUUUUCGGAGAAAGUGUUUAUAGCCUUGUGCCUCUGCAAUCGGAGAGAUUGAGGUCUGCAGCGUAGAUCCUUCGGGGUUAGAUACGUUUGUGCUAAGUUAUAGCUUUUCAUAGACAACUUGUUGACUAUGUUUAGUCUUGUAGCUUACUCGCUGACGCUAUUUUACCUACGCUUAGGAUGUUGAUAGUCACAGCGUGUAC
rnacentral:rRNA from 1 species